CAUCAAAUGUCAAAGGAAACUGACAAGUUUGCGUUUUAUUCCUUUUGAGUGAAAUAAUGUAUUUUUACAUUUUAAAUUUUUGUGGAGACCUUGGGUACACCAUUAGAAAUAAACUGUCAAAAGUUCCCAUCGAUCACAUGAGUGCUAAAAAAGUUAUUCGGAGUCAAAGGUCAAAAUUUGCGGUUUUUUAGAUUUUUUUCGAAAACGUGAGGAGAAUCUACAAUCAAGAAUGAGAAAAGUUUCAAUUGUUUGGGGCUUACUUUGGCAUCAGUUGGGUCCAAAUCCAUUUUUUUGGGGCCGAAUGUGACACAUGUCCUCCCAGUUGCGCACAACCCCAUUUUCCAUCGGGUAAUUCACCUCGAGGAGGGAACGCAAAGCGGAGGCUUCAUCCCCGCUUCGUUGCAAUUUGUUAAGGUUGGUAAUAGUUUGGUUUCUCACCAACUGAGCAUCCAUUUUGUUUUCUAUUUCUGUUGAAAAAGUUGCGAUUGAUCUGAUGGCUUCUAUAGAUGAGAUGAGAGAAAUUGAAAGAGAUUAUCCCAAUUUCUUUAAKCGUAAGCACUUGACAAUCGUAUUUUUGCUUGCUACGUACGUAUAUUGAAUUUAUUUUAGCUCAUCUYGGAUUWYUGGUGUGUUGCACCGGGCAAAAUAGCGAGGACGAUCAGGAAAACUUAAAACGAGCCUUUACCCGAACGUGCUCCAAAUAUUUUUAUGUAAAGAAUGUGAGCAUACGUAAAGGGAUCAAUAAUUGUAGUUGGUGCCAGGCGGWAGUGACCUACGGACUACCAGACAACAAGGAUUUACCCGAGGAACCAGAUCUAAAGCACUUAGUGAGUUAUCUUCUUAAACAUGCACCAARAAACUCAGUCAUCAUUGGAGACAAAAGACAGUUAGAAUUACCUAAACAUGUGAUCAUUCCAUACGAAAUAUAUUGUAAUUGCCGGAUGAAGUUUUUUAGCAAGGCUGCCUAACCAUCUUAAAUGCAGCCUUUAAUACACUUUCAGGAAUUACAGGCUUAAUGGGAAACUGCACUAUUAUUACUAUUAAUAUUAUCAACUUGUUUGUGGCCAUAAUAAAUCUGACCAUCAGAAUGUUUUCGCUUAGGUGUGAGGAAGAGAAAGCGACGAUUACGGCGAAACUAGAGGAGACAGUCCAAAAUGCUUAGAAAAUUCGUAAUCAGCGCGUCAAAAUCUAUCGGUUUAAAUUGAAUCUGAGACAUGUUCAAAAAUACUAGUUUUUAUGUGUGUUAACGGA